AUUGAACGCUGGCGGCAUGCCUUACACAUGCAAGUCGAACGGUAACAGGUCUUCGGAUGCUGACGAGUGGCAAACGGGUGAGUAAUACAUCGGAACGUGCCCGAGAGUGGGGGAUAACGAGGCGAAAGCUUUGCUAAUACCGCAUACGAUCUCAGGAUGAAAGCAGGGGACCGCAAGGCCUUGCGCUCACGGAGCGGCCGAUGGCAGAUUAGGUAGUUGGUGGGAUAAAAGCUUACCAAGCCGACGAUCUGUAGCUGGUCUGAGAGGACGACCAGCCACACUGGGACUGAGACACGGCCCAGACUCCUACGGGAGGCAGCAGUGGGGAAUUUUGGACAAUGGGCGCAAGCCUGAUCCAGCCAUGCCGCGUGCAGGAUGAAGGCCUUCGAGUUGUAAACUGCUUUUGUACGGAACGAAAAGACUCCUUCUAAUAAAGGGGGUCCAUGACGGUACCGUAAGAAUAAGCACCGGCUAACUACGUGCCAGCAGCCGGCAGUAAGAC
rnacentral:rRNA from 1 species